ACGGGUGAGUAACGCGUAAGUUAUCUACCUCGGCAUCUGGAAUAACUCACCGAAAGGUGUGCUAAUACCGGAUACGUUGAGUAAUCAAGAAAGGUGGCCUCUGCAUAUGCUACCGUGCUGGGAUGAGCUUGCGUACCAUUAGCUAGUUGGUAGGGUAAUGGCCUACCAAGGCGACGAUGGUUAGCGGGUCUGAGAGGAUGAUCCGCCACACUGGAACUGGAACACGGACCAGACUCCUACGGGAGGCAGCAGUGAGGAAUAUUGCGCAAUGGGGGCAACCCUGACGCAGCGACGCCGCGUGGAUGAUGAAGGCCUUCGGGUCGUAAAAUCCUGUCAGGUGGAAAGAAGUGCAUAGUGGCUAAUAUCCAUUAUGUUUGACGGUACCACCGAAGGAAGCACCGGCUAACUCCGUGCCAGCAGCCGCGGUAAUACGGAGGGUGCAAGCGUUGUUCGGAAUUACUGGGCGUAAAGCGCGCGUAGGCGGUUUGUUAAGUCAGAUGUGAAAGCCCUCGGCUUAACCGGGGACGUGCAUUUGAAACUGGCAGACUUGAGUACUGGAGGGGGUGGUGGAAUUCCCGGUGUAG
rnacentral:rRNA from 1 species